CCACAACUCCUCUCAAAACCCCUCCUCUGCCGUUCCAAUCUCCUCCCUUUUCCGACCAGAUAACGGCUAACGAGAGCGCCCAACGAAUCUCUCGACGGUAAGUCCUCCUCCCCCUCACCCUUUUCGUGUUUUGUUUUUAAGAAAUAAAAAGAAAAGAACCAAAAUAACUUAAAAAAAAGGCAGUAAAAGAACAGAGAAAAAUAAAACAAAAUUCUACCUUCAAAACUAUUUUUCUGUAUAUUUUCUUUUUGAUUUCAAUACCAAAAAAUUUCUAAACCCCCUUUUACAGAUUCGAUUUCCCUUUUAUAUAGCCCCCCUAAAUCUUUUUCACAACUUGCUAUUCCCCCCAUUUUGCUUUCUGCUCGCGGUUCUUUUUAUUGCAGGUACAUGCGUGUAUGGGAAUUGCUGCGACGUGGGGCAUGCACGGCGCUGGAGGUUGCUGAGACGUGGGAUGUUGUUGCGAGGGAAGAACGUGGGCAGUUGCGGCAUGGGGCGAUGGUGGCGUCGAGGCUCUCUGCUAGUUAGGCUAGGGAUUUGGGUUAAUGACUUGGGCUUGUAAUGGGUUUGGGCCUUAGGCUUAGUUGGGCCCGGGCAAUAAUUGGGUAUUACAAUUACAAACAUAAUUUUUGGGAUAGAUAAGAGUUUAAUAAAAUUUUCAUAAAUAUAUGUAAAAACUAAUUAACCGAGCAUAAAUAUUCAUUACUUUAAGAAUACAUGCAAAGCAUUCGGAU
rnacentral:lncRNA from 1 species